rnacentral:rRNA from 1 species
UACGGCGGGUGCAAACGUUGCUCGGAAUCACUGGGCGUAAAGCGCACGUAGGUGGUCCGGUAAGUCGGAUGUGAAAGCCCCCGGCUCAACCGAGGAAGUGCAUUCGAAACUGCCGGACUUGAGUACGGGAGAGGGAUGCGGAAUUCCCGGUGUAGAAGUGAAAUUCGUAGAUAUCGGGAGGAACACCAGUGGCGAAGGCGGCAUCCUGGACCGAUACUGACGCUGAGGUGCGAAAGCGUGGGGAGCAAACAGG